UAGGGAAUCUUCGGCAAUGGACGAAAGUCUGACCGAGCAACGCCGCGUGAGUGAAGAAGGUUUUCGGAUCGUAAAACUCUGUUGUGAGAGAAGAACAAGGACGUUAGUAACUGAACGUCCCCUGACGGUAUCUAACCAGAAAGCCACGGCUAACUACGUGCCAGCAGCCGCGGUAAUACGUAGGUGGCAAGCGUUGUCCGGAUUUAUUGGGCGUAAAGCGAGCGCAGGCGGUUUCUUAAGUCUGAUGUGAAAGCCCCCGGCUCAACCGGGGAGGGUCAUUGGAAACUGGGAGACUUGAGUGCAGAAGAGGAGAGUGGAAUUCCAUGUGUAGCGGUGAAAUGCGUAGAUAUAUGGAGGAACACCAGUGGCGAAGGCGGCUCUCUGGUCUGUAACUGACGCUGAGGCUCGAAAGCGUGGGGAGCAAACAGG
rnacentral:rRNA from 1 species